CUAGUGGCGAACGGGUGAGUAACACGUUGGGGAACCUGUCCUCCUAGUCGGGGAUACCCUGCUCGAAAGUGGCGGCUAAUACCGGAUGCGUUCUCGAGGUCGCCGGAUCUUGAGAGGAAAGGCGGCGAAAGCUGUCGCUGGUGGAGGGCCUCGCGGCCUAUCAGCUAGUUGGUGAGGUAACGGCUCACCAAGGCUAUGACGGGUAGCUGGUCUGAGAGGACG
rnacentral:rRNA from 1 species